rnacentral:rRNA from 1 species
CAAUGGGCGAAAGCCUGAUGGAGCAAUGCCGCGUGAGUGAAGUAAGGUUUUGGAUACGUAAAACUCUGUUGUUGAAGAAGAACAUGCGUGAGAGUAACUGUUCACGUACUGACGGUAUUCAACCAGAAAGCCACGGCUAACUACGUGCCAGCAGCCGCGGUAAUACGUAGGUGGCAAGCGUUGUCCGGAGUUUAUUGGGCGUAAAGAGAAUGUAGGCGGUUUAUUAAGUUUGAAGUGAAAGCCCUCGGCUCAACCGAGGAAGUGCUUCGAAAACUGGUAAACUUGAGUGCAGAAGAGGAAAGUGGAACUCCAUGUGUAGCGGUGGAAUGCGUAGAUAUAUGGAAGAACACCAGUGGCGAAGGCGGCUUUCUGGUCUGUAACUGACGCUGAGAUUCGAAAGCAUGGGUAGCAAACAGGAUUAGAUACCCUGGUAG